rnacentral:rRNA from 1 species
CGGGGGGUGCAAGCGUUGUUCGGAAUUACUGGGCGUAAAGCGCGUGUAGGCGGCUGGGUAAGUCAGAUGUGAAAGUCCUAGGCUCAACCUAGGAAGUGCAUUUGAAACUGCUCAGCUCGAGUAAGGGAGAGGAAGGCGGAAUUCCUGGUGUAGAGGUGAAAUUCGUAGAUAUCAGGAGGAACACCGGUGGCGAAGGCGGCCUUCUGGCCCUAUACUGACGCUGAGACGCGAAAGCGUGGGGAGCAAACAGGAUUAGAUACCCGAGUAGUCC